UGUUCAAACACACACACCGUCAGAGAGAGAGUGUUUGUGUGUGUGUGUGAUCGAUCACUGGGGAAAAUCAGAACUCAAACAUUUUAGUUUGCGUUGAACAUCUGUGUGUGUGUGUGUGUUUCCGCUCCAUUUGUCAGAAAGUGAAAAACCAACAGUUUGAUUCCCCAUACGUCAGAUAACGAGACGCUGAUGCGGGUGCACAAUUCAAACGCACCCUCACUGCGCCUUCGCUCAGAGACGCCCGUCGACUCCACCGAUUCUGUGCCCGCGACGCGACGCCAUGGUUACGCCCGGGGUCCACAUUAUAGACUUUGAGGAAUGUUUCAUUUUCACAGACAACAAAAUGUAUUUUUUUUUAUUGGUAAAUUCAAGCGGGGCGGGAAGUUUGACUUUGUUUUAUAAUAAAAUAAAAAAAUCGGUUUGAUGAAAGGUUGAUUGUUUUAGUGUGGAUGCGGACAAAUUCUACUUGGACAGAGUUUAUAUAUUUUUAGUUUUAGUGUGGACAGUGUUAUUACGUUAUGUUAUGUUAUGUUAUGUUAUGUUAUAUUGCAUGGUUACAUAUUCAGUCCAUAAGGCAGCAGUGUGUGUGUGUGUGUGUGUCACACUUCUUCACACUUCAAAGUGAGAAGUGACUUGUAAACGCUUGUUUUCUCUUGUUUUCUUGUUGUUUUCUCCGCCCUGAGACAAAGCGCAGGACAAAGCGCCGCCCGCGGUCUCUUCACCAGCGGGGGAAACAUUUCCAUCACAACGGCUUCAAACCGGAUUCACACGUUUGAUCCGGCGACAGGACGCGACAGUACAGAAACAAACGCGUGCUACAUGGAGGAAAUGAAGAACGUGAAGCGUGUGGCGGGUGAGGACGGACGCAUGUGCAUUAACACAGAGUGGGGAGGCUUCGGAGACGACCACUCCCUGAGGGACAUCCUGACAGAGUUUGACCUGAUGGUGGACAACAUGUCCAUCAACCCCGGCGUCAUUUUUGGGCAUGAGAGCUCUCGCAUGAUCAUUUCUGCCCCACCUGCAUGAUGGGAGACUCGGGGAAGGUGCGGGUCAGAGGUCAGAGUUCAGCCGAGGUGCGACCUCACCAGGUUCCAGAGGCAGCAGCAGCACAGAGCAGUGUUCUACCUGGAAUGAGGAGCCGGGGAAGGCCACAUGCUGAGAGCUGAGAGCUGGAAAUGAACAACAAGGGGUCACAUGACCGAAACAUCACAUCAUCACAGACACCAUUGGGCUCGGCUGAGUCUCAGGGUAAAGAGGACGAUACGGAGGAGGCUGAUCGCUGCUCAUCAGGACGACGGAUGAGAAGAAUCUACAGGAGCUGAACAGGAAGAGACAAAAAACAAACAAACAAAACAAAAACAAAAUGAAUCUGAAUGAAAGCAGCAUUGUACGGGUCCUCACAGCUGCCGCCCUACCAGAAGGUGGCACUAUACCCUUAACUUAGUUUUCAUUUGCUCAUGUUUUAUGGUCGGGUUUCUUGUCUCACGUAUAAAGUUUCAAGCAGUUCAGUCAACGUACGGCGAAGUUACCAGGCACUUCCUGUUUUCGUUAUGAAUGGUCGAAAUUCGCCAAGAUUCCAAUGGUUGCUGUGGCCACGCCCCAUUUGAAUCUGCAAUACCUUUAGGGAACUUCUCAUCUUUGAUGUGUCUAGUACAAAUUGCUGCAUUUUUAAAAGAUAUAGGUACGAUUAACUCGCUCAGACGAGUUUGUUUAUUUACGGAACCUGCAAAUUGCCAAGAUGGAUGCCAAAUUCAAAAUGGCCGACUUGCUAUUGCGCUGAGGUAAUGGUGCCAACUGUUCGCCUUGUGCUAUGACAUGUUUUCACCAAGUUUCGUGAAAUUUGGUGCACUGUGUACGAACAAUGUUACACUCGGACCGUUUAGCACAAAAGUGUCCCAUUCAAACUAAUUUUGUGAAAUUUAGUGCAAAUUAGUUUUCAGCUCUGUCCAUGCUUCACCUUUGGGUGCACUACUGAGCACGCAUUUGCCUUAUGUUAUCAUUUUUUCCUGCCUGUUAUGAUUUGUGUGUCAAUUUUCCGUCCGUUUUCACCAACGUUUAGUGCCUCAAAAAAGGUGAUAAUUCCAGGAAUUCCAGUGUGUCCUCGCACCACUGUGUCCGUGCAUAUGUCCUACUGAGAAGACGGACAUGUAGACAGACACAGUCAUGCUCUACUGACUGGCUGAAGGACUCACUUGUCCCGCAGGUCAGGAGACACUUCACACAUCAGUCAUCUGCCUUCAUACCAGUCUAAUCAAAUCAGCUGGUUUCCAUGGAGACCACAGAGAAGGACAGAGGUGUCUCUGCAUCCUGUUGUUGACUCAUCACUUUGUUUGUCGUCAGGAAACUUGUUUACUGUUGUACUUUAUGUUAACUGUGAGUUAACUGCGUCAAUAUCAAUAGAAUUUCAGUUUGUUGUUUUCUUUAACAUUGUAUAAUCCUGCAGGAUUGAUUGAAGAUUAAAAUAAUGUGAAGUGAAGAAGCAGCAGCUUCAAGUUCCACCAAAAUAAAUCUCAUCGUAAUGUGCAAAGUUUGUGUUAUCUGUCGUCAGACCAGACGUCAAUUCAUAAUUUUGACAGUUUAGUGACUUCACGCUCCUGGAAAUGUAAAAUCACCACAACACGAACAGUAAUAUUGAUGCUGGACUCGACGGCAGUUUGCGCUCUAUAAUUCGUCUCACGACAUUUUACUCACUCGUCACCGAGUGUUGAUUUUGGAGUUGUUAUCGUGUCACAUCAUCGCGCAUUAAAGAGUUGCGCGCAAAGCGGUAGAACAGAGUGAAAUAACUCUGGACCACGAUCGGAUUGCUGAACUAUGUGUAAGCCGAAUUCAUACACACCUCGACACAAACGGAACCAACGCGCCGAAACGCGAUUUCUAGAGCUGCCGGCGUCACUUAAUGAACGAUUUCUUUCAAACUGCCAGUAAUUUAAACGGAGUUUGGAGCGCGAACGGAGUCUGAG